GAUGAACGCUGGCGGCGUGCCUAAUACGUGCAAGUCGAGCGAACGGACGAGAAGCUUGCUUCUCUGAUGUUAGCGGCGGACGGGUGAGUAACACGUGGAUAACCUACCUAUAAGACUGGGAUAACUUCGGGAAACCGGAGCUAAUACCGGAUAAUAUUUUGAACCGCAUGGUUCAAAAGUGAAAGGCGGUCUUGCUGUCACUUAUAGAUGGAUCCGCGCUGCAUUAGCUAGUUGGUAAGGUAACGGCUUACCAAGGCAACGAUGCAUAGCCGACCUGAGAGGGUGAUCGGCCACACUGGAACUGAGACACGGUCCAGACUCCUACGGGAGGCAGCAGUAGGGAAUCUUCCGCAAUGGGCGAAAGCCUGACGGAGCAACGCCGCGUGAGUGAUGAAGGUCUUCGGAUCGUAAAACUCUGUUAUUAGGGAAGAACAUAUGUGUAAGUAACUGUGCACAUCUUGACGGUACCUAAUCAGAAAGCCACGGCUAACUACGUG
rnacentral:rRNA from 1 species